AUUCCGGCAGCGUAUAAAUACGCCUGGAAGAGAGGGAAUCAGGUGAGAAUCCUGAACGAACCGGUCACUGUAAUCAGGUUGUCGGCUUAAUGCCAUUGCGAAAGCGAGAAGGAAGCCGGCGGGAAACUGUAAGCCAGGAAACCUGCUUGAUGAGA
rnacentral:ncRNA from 1 species